GAUGAACGCUGGCGGCGUGCCUAAUACAUGCAAGUCGAGCGAACGGACGAGAAGCUUGCUUCUCUGAUGUUAGCGGCGGACGGGUGAGUAACACGUGGAUAACCUACCUAUAAGACUGGGAUAACUUCGGGAAACCGGAGCUAAUACCGGAUAAUAUUUUGAACCGCAUGGUUCAAAAGUGAAAGACGGUCUUGCUGUCACUUAUAGAUGGAUUCGCGCUGCAUUAGCUAGUUGGUAAGGUAACGGCUUACCAAGGCAACGAUGCAUAGCCGACCUGAGAGGGUGAUCGGCCACACUGGAACUGAGACACGGUCCAGACUCCUACGGGAGGCAGCAGUAGGGAAUCUUCCGCAAUGGGCGAAAGCUUGACGGAGCAACGCCGCGUGAGUGAUGAAGGUCUUCGGAUCGUAAAACUCUGUUAUUAGGGAAGAACAUAUGUGUAAGUAACUGUGCACAUCUUGACGGUACCUAAUCAGAAAGCCACGGCUAACUACGUG
rnacentral:rRNA from 1 species